rnacentral:lncRNA from 1 species
UGAGUUUCACAAUAUUUUGCGUGAGGAGAUACGUCUUGCAGUGCGUUCUGAUUAUACUGCCACCAACUGGGUUGCCAUGACCCUAAGGGGUCUCAGGUGCUUAGGGCACUUCCCGGAGCUGCACCCAGACCUGGACGAAGAGGGAAAGGUCAAUUUCAUUUCGUCGAACCCGAUCAAUGUUCGAUUUGUCAUGGAAACGUUGGAGGAGCGAUUUGAUGAUGACUGGCAGAACCCACGUCUUAUUAGUACACCUCCGGGAACUUGUCUCGGACAACUGUAAACCAGGGGUGAAGAUGCGCCGGCAUACCCAUUGGAUGGGAACGCCGAAAAUACGACGUGCUACAUCCCUGCGAAGUCAUACUUGUCACUGCUGCGGUUUCGCUUAGGGGCGUAGCCUUUGGAGGUUAGCCGACCAGGCAGUCGGUCGCGCCAAGAGCGCUGGUGUAGGGUCCGUGGCAACUAGUAAGCGACCUCAGGCUUACUACUCGGCUAUCAGCGUGCGUCGCCUCAUCCAGAUGUUAUGAACGAUCUGUGCAAGUCCGCGCUGAUCAUCUAUCUCCACGACAGACCUCAUAUUAGGCACGGGCUCAAUAACAGCCUGGCAUACACCUAGGUUGGGGAACCCUUCCCGUAUAUCUUUGUAGGCGGCCGAAGUGUUCCCCAGAGCGUCAGCUGGGUUCCAACUGGCAACCAACGGCAUCGGAAAUUGAACUCGGAUGCUCGUAGCCCCGCCCAGUCCUCCGCAAUAAAGCGGGAUUCCAGUUUUCAUUACGGUGCAUAUACUUUCAUGUGGAUGAAUAGAUAAGCGCUUGCAUACAGCGACUAAUAAGCAUGCAUGCUGCAGCUAGUAAUAACGUAUGACACAUAGCUUUGCCUGCGCAGGGUUGCGACCGUAUUACUUUUGACCGUCCGGCGUAAUACUACAUUCCAAAAUAUUUUACGCCCGGCGAUGGCGUAUUGUACGACACCAACUUUUUACUCGGCGUAUUGCAAAAGCUCCGGCGUAAUCUCCUUUGCAGUAUUUCUGGCGAAAACACUUGCAGAAGAUUAACAAGCAUAUUUUCUGUAUCGUGACGUGAAGAUACCGUAGCCGUGCCCCUGCUGCCUGCCGCUGCACUGACGUCGACAAGCUGGGCUCCGCCGAGCGCUGAUCGUCACCACCUUGCCGAGCAGUGACGGCUGCUUUGGCGCCCUGCUCCAGCCGCCACAGCUGCUUCAACUCCAGUUUCUUGCCGUGUGAUGGCGACGGGCACUGCUCAAAGUGCAGAGCCAGUUCGUGCAAAUUGGCGCGUCUGGCAGGGAUUUCAGUGCCGCAUGUCUUGAGCUUAGUGACGGCGAUUAGUAGUGCAAUAUGGCCCUAUGUCAUCGAAGUAAUCGUUCGUAACAACUCGUUUAUGACCACGUUCGGCUCGGGCCCAUCAUCCAUUGUGCCGCCUGACACGAACACCGACUGUUUACCUGAGCCGAUCGAUGUCAAUGCACUACCAAGACGAUACAAUUAGCAACGGAGAGAGCAGUGUGCGCUGUUUGGGGUAAGAACAAGCGGUUUGGGGCCUGUAUGACCAUAUGGUAAAACUAAUACGCCGACUUUACGCUACUAAUACGCCGCACGGAAAAUUGACCACCUCGCCGGCGUAUUUGUGCGUAGUUGUGCUUGGCGUAUUACAUUGUAAUACGGUCGCAAUCCUGUACCUGUGGCCGUCGGGACACCAAUUCGGACAGCCCGAGACGGGGUAGACAACGCUCCGUCUGCACCGUCUCUUUCGCAUUUCUGUAAAACGUACUUAGCUAGAUGUGCUAAACUAUAUUGCUCAAGCAAAAGAAAUUUGCAUAACACACGAGCAUUUUCAAAAAGAUUCGGCAACGCCCACCUACACUUCUAAUGCCUCAAUCAGGCCCAUCGCCUCACAAUCACGUAUAACUACAUCCUCCCGCGGCAUUACUCUACGUUUAGUCCGUUCAGAUGAACGGCCGCAACUUGGGGUCUCGCACGCUGGCGAUCUUGGCGGCCACCUUAGCCCCCCCUCGCAGCCCGCCUUGAUAAGCUCCAAAAACGUGGCGUACAUCGCCUCCUGCUCUCCAAAAUCCUGCGCUGACGCGAUGCCGCGGUUAUAGUACCUGCUCGCGUCUUACGCUGCCCGCGAUGCUGCCCUUUUUGCUCACGCCUCCUGGCCCCUGUCACACGCUGGGUGACCCGUGCGUCCCUCAGCUGGCGGGGUUCUUGCAGUGCCCAGCUGAUCAGGCCACGAGCUGGUGCCGCCCUCACUGAGCGGAGGGAGGUUUGGCCCCAGCCGGGAUGGUGAGGCCGGGAACCAUUCGUCCACGAGGCGUCCGUAAUCCUGAUGAAUCGCCGCGUCCCUGGUAAGGAACACGGUGCAACGGCACCGGGUCGGGCAUGGCACUGCCAGAAGGUUUACUUGUAUGCACAGCGUAACGAUCUUGUGACUUCUUUAGGAGGCUGUAUAGCUCGCUGCGUGACUUUACUGCAGUCGCGGAGUAUGUGCGGUUCAGCCGUUUACUGCUGGGGAUAUUUGCCGUGGAAAGUUUUAGGCCAGUUUGCUUGUACCGGCCUAGCUUUUGUCAAAGCUGACAUUGUCUGCGCCGGGGAACUGUAGCUUUAGGAUAUCUUUGGCACGUACACUGUGCUCGGUCUUGGUGAUGCGGUGGUGUAAGGCUGUAGUGCGGGAGUCAAAACAUCGCGAUAAAGGCAGUUUACUGGAAGUUACGCACUGCCUUUGUGCGUAAUCUUUAUAAUUAAUAUAAUUAGUUAGGAACAUAGCGAUUGGGAUGAUGCCUGAUUGGUGCCCUGCCAGCCAUGCAUACAUUUGUUGUUAUACAUACAUAUAGGAGUGUAUCAAAUUGAAAUUAUUACACACGGAAAAAUACUUUAAGCUUUAGUAGGUCAUGUAAGCACAACAGGCAACGAGAACCCAAGCGACACUACUUGUCGCGACGGAAGAUCAAUAAGCGCUGCGUUGCACUGACUGCUGCUGACACAUUGCUUGCUUUGUUACCAUCUCCGUUCUUUGCGUCUGAGUGCUGGAAUGGAUGCUACCCUGGAAUGCGAAUACUAAGCGUACGUGGAAACAAGCAAGUGCCACUCGAUACUAUGUAUCACUACUGUACGGCUGUGCUCUUUUUGUAACGUUAAGUACCUUGGAGGGCCCCUGUGGAUCAACUUAUU